GAAUUUCCAGUCACCCUGUAAAUUUAUGUUAUUUAUUUUGGUAUAAAAUGACAGGCUGUUUAUACACAAAAUAGAAGGUGUAUUAAGUAACUAGGAGCGCGAGACAUAUUACUCACAACAUGUCGCUUGUCGGCUCGUUGCUUCUUUAUCGUAAUUAGGGCCAACUAAUUACCAGCUUAACAAUAUCUCAGAGGCAAAAUGACUUCCGUGCUACCAUGGUGCUACUGAACAAACAGCGAAUGUUUUCAAAUCAUUUACAAGCACCUGCUCAGACAGUCUCUACAUAACUAUUA